rnacentral:rRNA from 1 species
CCUACGGGGGGCAGCAGUGAGGAAUAUUGGUCAAUGGGCGCAAGCCUGAUCCAGCGAAGCCGCGUGAAGGAUGACUUCCCUACGGGUGGUAAGCUUCUUUUAUAAGGGAAUAAAGUGAGGCACGUGUGCCUUUAUGCAUGUACUUUAUGAAUAAGGAUCGGCUAACUCCGUGCCAGCAGCCGCGGUAAUACGGAGGAUACGAGCGUUAUCCGGAUUUAGUGGGUUUAAAGGGAGCGUAGAUGGGUUGUUAAGUCAGUGGUGAAAGUUUGCGGCUCAACCGUAAAAUUGCAAUUGAUACUGGAAGCCUUGAGUGCAGGUGAGGUAGGCGGAAUUCGUGGUGUAGCGGUGAAAUGCGUAGAUAUCACGAGGAACUCCGAUGGCGAAGGCAGCUUACUAGACUGCCACUGACGUUGAGGCUCGAAAGCGUGGGGAUCAAACAGGAUUAGAUACCCUAGUAGUC